GAAGCUUUUAAGCAGGGCGGAGGGAAGGGGGACCACUGAAAAGAUUAAUUGACUUUCUGCAGAGCUUCACUUAUCCUCCACUGGAACCUUUGACUUGAAGGUCGGAAGUCAGAUCCUGCUUCAAAAUAACACCUCCAGACUAGAUAUUAUGGCUCUAAAGGGACAACUUCUGCUAAGACAUGGAAAAGAGAGAGUGAGAACAUAGGCUGUGAUUGGUUGCCAUCUAGUGGCUCUAGCAAGUGCUUGCUGCCACACAGUCAUGGACAGAGAGAAAGGGUCUGAUAUAACUUUUGGACUCCCAAGUUUCUUCAUCCCUCUCCGCUGAGCCAGGCUGGAGGACUGAACAGGCUCCAGGACGGGAGUGGGAGCGCAGCGUCUC